rnacentral:misc_RNA from 1 species
GAUGAAAACGUAGCGAAAUGCGAUAAGUAAUGUGAAUUGCAGAAUUCAGUGAAUCAUCGAAUCUUUGAACGCACAUUGCGCCCGCUAGUAUUCUGGCGGGCAUGCCUGUCCGAGCGUCAUUUCAACCCUCAAGCCCCCGGGCUUGGUGUUGGGGAUCGGCGAGCCUCCGCGCCCGCCGUCCCCUAAAUCUAGUGGCGGUCUCGCUGUAGCUUCCUCUGCGUAGUAGCACACCUCGCACUGGGAAACAGCGCGGCCACGCCGUUAAACCCCCAACUUCUGAACGUUUGACCUCGGAUCAGGUAGGAAUACCCGCUGAACUUAAGCAUAUCAAUAAGCGGAGGA